AACGAACGCUGGCGGCAUGCCUAGCACAUGCAAGUCGAACGAGACCUUCGGGUCUAGGGGCGCACGGGUGCGUAACGCGUGGGAACCUGCCCUUAGGUUCGGAAUAACUCCCUGAAAGGGGUGCUAAUACCGGUUAAUGUCUUCGGACCAAAGAUUUAUCGCCUUUGGAUGGGGCCGGGUUGGAUUAGCUAGUUGGUAGGGUAAAAGCCUACCAAGGCGACGAUCCAUAGCUGGUCUGAGAGGAUGACCAGCCGCACUGGGACUGAGACACGGACCAGACUCCGACGGAAGGCAGCAGUGGGGAAUAUUAGACAAUGGGGGAAAGCCUAAUACAGCAAUGCCGCGUGAGUGAUGAAGGCCUUAGGGUUGUAAAGCUCUUUUACCCGAGAUGAUAAUGACAGUACCGGGAGAAUAAGCUCCGGCUAACUCCGUG
rnacentral:rRNA from 1 species